GCAGGAAGGAAUCCCUGCUUCCCCAACUACAGCACAGCAGGGACUGAAUCCACUCCUCCUCCAGCCCAUGGAUCCUGUAAGUGAGUGAGUGUGUGCUGUGUGUGUGUGUAACUGUGAUUGUGACUGUCUUUGACUGUGUGUGUGAUUGUCUGCUUGUGUGUGUGUGUGACUGCCUGUGAUUGUCUGUGUGAUUGUCUGCCUGUGAUUGUCUGUGUGAUAAUCUGCCUGUGAUUGUCUGUGUGACUCUGUGUGUGUGACUCUCUGACUGAUUGUGUGUGUGUGUGUGUGUGUGACUGUCUUUGAUUGUGUUAUGUGUACGUAUGACUGUCUGCCUGUGAUUGUGUGUGUCACUGUCUGUGUGUGUGACUGUCUGCCUGUGAUUGUCUGUGUUACUCUGUGUGUGUGACUGUCUGCCUGUGAUUGUGGGUGUGUGUGUGUGUGACUGUCUGUGACUGUGUGUGUGUGUGUGACUGUCUGCCUGUGAUUGUGUGUGUGACUGUCUGUGACUGUGUUGUGUGUAUGUGUGACUGUCUGUGAUUGUGUGUGUGACUGUCUGCCUGUGUGAUUGCCUGCGUAUUUGACUGUCUGCCUGUAACUGUGUGUGAGUGACUGUGUGUGGGACUGUGUGCAUCUGACUGUGUCUGACGGUCUUCGCCCUGCAGUGAGCCGGCAGCCAGGAUACGAUGUCAUCGCGGCCUCGGCGUCAUUUCAGGGCAUGCGAUGGACCUGUGCAGAAAGAGCACAGAGAUCCCAGCAGCAACCACUGGCCACCAGGGACUGAGGAUCCACUCCAGCCCUUCUAGAGCAAGGUAGGGAGGCUGGGUGGGCCUCUUAAUUAUUAAAUGUGUGUAUGUAUGUAAUGUUUGUGUGUGUAUGUGAUUGUGUGUCUGUGAUUGUAUGUGUGUGGGUCAGUGAUUGUGCUUGUGUAUAUCUGUGAUUAUGUGUGUGAUUGUGUGUAUCUCUGCGUAUGUGUUUAGUAGAUAGCUCCCUUAUUUCCUGUCCUCAAAUAUUGCAAUCCCACAUAUAGAUAACAAAUAAGGGAUUUAUCUACUGAAAAUAAGAAAAGGGCUUUUUUUAUCCUUUAGCUGUUUAGUAGAUCAUUCCCUGAAUUGGUGCCCGUAUGUGAGAUUUCCAUAUUUAAAGAUACCAAAUGAGGGUGCUGUCUAGCAGAUAGCACCUUAUUUGGUGUCCUUUAAAAUGGCAAUCCCACAAAGGAUAGCAAAUAGAGGAGUUAUCUGCUAAACAAAGAUUGAAAUUAAGAGGUGUCAGCCAGCCCACAACAAGAAAUCUGGGUGGCUAAUGUGAAUUAUAUGCAAAUGUGUAGUCAGAUGCCAGCAUGCAGAACACAGCAUGCUGGCAUCAGACAGCCAAUGGUAGCAUAUUACCCCAUCCCCUAGUGCAGGGCCGGACUUGGAAUUAAAAGCAGCCCUGGAAAAAAAAAUAUUUACCAGCCCCAUAAUGCGUCGCGCCAGCAUAGUGUGCAGAUACAGAGUCAGAACAGAUAAAUUAAAAUUAAAAAGUACUUCAACGUAAAAAGCCCACUCAUAGGCUUGCAAUGGCUAAUAUAUUGUAUAAACGAUUGUGGGGUUUGAAUGCAUACGCUGACAAUCGUGUAUACAUGAUUGGAGACGUGAAGGCGUUAAAGUACAUGCAUUGUAACUAAGUUAAUCAAGCUAUCUGUAAAUUAUCAGUCCAAUUUAAAGGGGCACUUUAAGCAGCUGGAUUUUUGCAUGCCCAAUAUCUGUAUAACUUUUAAGGGGUUUCAAAACAAGAAUAUUUUUAUUGUUUGUUUUAACCUUGUUAACGUGAUCUAGUGCUUCCAUUCCAAAAUACUUCUCAAACUCCAAGGGGUGAAUUCACAUCUGACAUAACCAGAGGCAUUUUUUUUUUAUGAAAACUGUCAUUGACUCCGUAGGUAAAUCCUGGACAGACUGAUUUGUUUGGGGCAAAAGGAAUUUGAUUUGUUCAUAUCAGCUGAAAUUUGAGUAUAGUGGCCAUGAAAGUGGACAUCCUUGCCCCAUAACCUGCUUUUAAAAAACAUUGAAUAAAUUAUUAGUAACAUUCAACUUGAAUUCAUUUCAAACGUGUUGAGCAAUUCAACACAUCUAACUAAAUCAAACUUUAAACCAUCUGUGGUAAAGCCAGGAGUGCGGGUUGAAGUAAGGAAACAAGGGUGCAAACUCAGUGCUUGAGUCCUGCAGGAACGCAUGGGAAUGGCAUUCCUGCACUUUUUCCAAAGCAGGAACACCGUUCUCGCUAGUAGUGCAGGACCUGCCCUGCUACCUGUACACGGGGGCCCAGCACACUCUGUGUUCCCUCUCUGUUUCUCACAUUCGCAAGUCCCACGGCCACCAGAGCGUUGCCAUGGUAACCACAGCACGCAGGCGAGUCCUGCAAGAGUUAGACAGAGCUGGAGAGGGAACAGAAAGUGUUCUGGGUCCCCGUGUGCAGUGGCUGGCUCCCUCCACCGGACCACCAGGGAAUGAGAUCUCCCCCCUCCCUGACAAGGUAAGAAGCAGGGAGGGGGGAAUAAAAUAAAAAAUAUACACACAUAAAUUGGAAAAAAAAUUGCUUCCCCACCUAACACACACACACACACACAUCAUCCCUCAUCACACCCAUCAUCCAGCACACACACACACCCUCCCCCCCUUUCCCUGUGUCUCUCCCUCCCCCCUUUCCCUGUGUCUCUCCCCUCUCCCUAUUCCCCUUACCAUCUCUCCCUCCCUUUCCUGGUGUCUCUCCCUCCCUCCCCUUUCCCUGUGCUCCUCCCUCUCCCUGUGGCUCUCCUCUCCCCCUUUCCUGUGUCUCUCCCUCUCCCUCCCUCCCCCCUUUCCCCUGUGUAUCUCCCCCUUUCCCCUGUGUCUCUCCCUCUCCCUCCCCUCUCCCUCCCCCCCCUUUCCCUGUGUCUCUUCCCUCUCCCUCCCUCCCCCCUUUCCCUGUGUCUCUCCCCUCUCCCCCCGCCCUUUCCGUGUGUCUCUCCCCUCUCCCUCUCCCCCUGCCCCCAAUUUACCUUAAAGAAGGCAAGGGGGCCGGCCGCGUUCCAAACUGGAGCCGCCGGGCCGGGUGGCAGCUUCGCCGGUCCGGCGGCACUCCAGUCACUGGCUGCUGAUGGAGGAGGAGCCUGUCUACCAUGCUCCCUCGCGGUUCCUGUGCCGGGAAUUGUGGGAACCGCAAGGACCGGCCACCCGGUGGCACAUAUGUGGCCUUGCAGCCCCCCAGUUGCCGCGGCCCACCGGGAAAUUUCCCGUUAUCCCGGUGGGCCAGUCCGGCCCUGCCCUAGUGAGAAGUUUUACUGCUCCACCUCCCCCUCCUGUUUUGACUGUGGUAUCUUAUGUUCCCCCCCAUAUAUAUUGUUCCUAGAGUCGCCACGAUGUCUGCAUGUGUGUCAAUGUGUAUCUGUGUGUGUUUGUGUGUGUAUGUCCGUGUAUGUGUAUAUGUGCAGACAUCUAAAAAUCUCGCCAACACUACACACAAAUACACUCUUGCAUUUCAACGUCAACACUACAUACAAACCCCACCAUUAUAUAUAACCAUACCACUGCAUUCAAAUACCACACAACACACAAAUGCAUGCUUGCAUUCAAACGCCAACACUACAAACACACCGCUACAUUCACUCACAUAUACUCCAUACAAAAACAUGCAUACAUUCAAAAACACAAACACUGCUUAGUGCUAAAUACAUUAAAACAUUUUUUAGUUGUUUUUAUAUUUAAAGUUGAGGGGGGGAGAAAGGGGGGUGCCAAAAAUAGGACCCACCCCGGGUGACAAAUUUUCUAGGUACGCCCCUGCUACUACUUUAGGUUUGGAUCCCAGGUAAGCAAGUUAUGGAGGAAUGUAACUACAAUUCCCUGCAAUUUCCACAGAAGCAGUCUUACUCAUCCCACUGACUUCCACCAAAAUACACACAAAAUGUAUUCAUAUAGUCUCAGUGGCAACUCAGAAGUCUGUUCUGUACAAUCACAUACUAUGGAAAACACCUUCUCUGAUUUUACUAAAAGCUAAAUUAAUACAUGCCAGAAUGGGCUGUUUAGAAUCCAUGUUAAAAAAUAUAUAUAUAUAUAAUCCAGGCAUGGAAAGCCCUAUAUUAUAUACUGGAGAUGAGGAACACCAUUAAAGCAUGCUGAUACCUUAUAAGAGUCUUUGUCACAAACCACCUACAAUAAAACAAAUAUUGUUUUUUUUUCUGGGGGGGGGGGGUUGAAAACAAUUGAAGUUACUGUACUUUCACAGUAACAAACACUACAUAGAAUUGCAUUGUUUAUUAUUGCAUACUCAUUUAAUACAGACUCAAUAAAAUGUUUACAACUGAAAACAAAUAUAUUCCUAAUGUUGUUAAAAUGUUCCUUUAAAUACUUAUAUAUCCAGUUCACCUAUAGAAUACUGAAACGUGUUGUGUUAAAUAAUAAACACACAAAAAUAGAACUACAUAUUUUUCCUACAAAAUGCUAUUAGUUUAUGCAGCAAGUAUUCCAUUUAUGCCCACUGUAAUUGCCUAGCAUGUGUUCUAGCCCUUCCAGCAGGCAUGGGUUAACUAUUCAGGAAAUUGCAGCUUGAAAACUACAACAAACUUGCUGGCACUCUGCAGAUCGGCAAUGAUAAAUAAGUGUAUGUUCUAUAGCUCCAAGCACAAAGCAAGCUGUUAGGCUGUUGAUUACAUCUCACUCUUCUCGAAACAAAAACAAAAAAUAGCUUGCCAAGCCUUGCUAGUUCCUAUUUCGCCUUCCUGUGUAGGGUGUGUCAUAAUAAUGGACAGUGCACACACACAUGAUGAUAGAGGACCUAAAUCACAGACAUAGUGUGUGUGUGUUUUAAAGCCCCACUUUGCAGAAGCCUGAUUUUCCACAUAGAUUUGUUUUCCUUCUCUCCAAUUCAAAUGCUUCCUCUGCCCCCUCUACUGAUCGAAUUUCAGAUCAGCCAGGAUUUGCAACUAACCUCCAGGGCAGGCACAACUGAACCUUACUGAUUCACAAGAUCAAAAGGCUCUGAUGCAUUCAUUAAAGCGCUCUUUUUUUCUGUUGUUUUUUUUUUUUUCUUUCCUUUCCUUGCAGAAUCUCAGAAAUCAAAGGACAUAUCCUCCCACAGCACUAUCCUCCAUUAUCUUUCUGUUAUUCUCAAUUAUAUUCAUCAUGCUGCUUUUAUUUUCAAUACGUUGUUUAAUUUCCAUGUUUAUUCGACGUGUUUCAGAGUGAUAGCCAAUUAAUAUAUUCUAUUGCUUCAUUUUACCAACAUCAGGCAAAGGACAAUAGCAAGGGGAUUUUUUUUUAUUUUUUUUUUAAUCUUGCCAAUGACGUCACUGUUCUUGUUAACCCUUUCUCUGCUGCAUAUUACAGCUAAAUCAUAGAGAGAGAGGAGGAGGGGAAAGAAAAGUUUCUUCAUACAUUUAAUGUUAGCGUUUAGGGUACUGGAGAGUUCAUAUAAACCUUAAACAAGAUGUUAGUGUAUACUGAUUAGCAUGAUUCUCAUUCUUCCUCAUUCUAUUCAUGUAGCCCUUUUUAUCAGUGUAGGAAGAGAAAACAAGACGGAGGUGGGGGGGUGGAUGGAACGCCAUAGGCAGAGCAGAGAGGAUAUGCUAAAAGCACAAGAAUGCAGAGCAUAACAGAGAAGGUCACAUUCACAUGAAUAUAGUUCCCUGUUUUCACGUUUAUAAUACACCCUGUUAAUAUGUAUUAGCUCUGCAACUUAUCUCUUAGAAUGUUUAUAGUAAAUUAGUUUCCAUUUUUAUUUGUUGCAACACUGUCUCUGUUUGCAGUUGGUGUUAAAGCUUUAUAUGCUGUACACUGCUGGUGGAAGGAUACACUGUUAAACAUAUCAGUCCUCGCCGCUAGUGUAAGCUAAAGGAACAGAAUGCAAAACCUGGAAUGGAUCUCUUGACAUGGGAUAUACGUAAAAGACAACAGCCUCUUCCUAGUUCUUCCUACCAAUUUGUAUGCACAUAAACCUGAUCCAUGUGCCACAUUCCCCAAAUUUAAUAUGCUACCCAAGAUGUUUGGGCUUUUGCUUUAGCAUACUGAUAAGAGUGCAGUAGAAGUUCUGUUCACAGACAUAAGUAGAUGUGCACUUGUUUUAACAUUAAAAUGUAUAGUGUUAAAAUAUAUAGGUCACCCAAACAUGAUUUCAAGGUGUAUGUCAGAGAUUGUAAGCAGGUUUAAAUAGCACAUUCUUCAUCUCUCCACAUUAUUUUUAAUUCUAAUUACCGUAAUACAUCCCAACUACCAUAUUUUUCGCUCCAUAAGACGCACCUCACCAUAAGACGCACCUAGUUUUUAGAGGAGGAAACCCAGAAAAAUUCUGAACUGUUCCAUAGUGUUUCUUACUAUGGGACAGUUUGUUCAGAAUAUUUUUUUUUCUCCUCCUGUCCCAUAAUGAUCUUUAACCCCCUCCCCUGUCCCAUAGUUAUUUUAACCCCCCUUUCCUCUGUCCCAUAGUGAUUGUUAACCCCUCCUCCCCUGUCCCAUAGUGUUCUUUAACCCCUCCUCCCCUUGUCCAAUAGUGUUCUCAUCCCAUAGUGUUCCCACCCUUGUCCCAUAGUGCACUUUCCCUCCCAUAGUGUCUCCCCUCCCCUUGUCAUAUAGUGUCCCCCAUCCCCUUGUUCCAUAGUGUCCCCCCCUCUCCCAGUCCCAUUGUGUCCCCCCUCCCCUUGUCCCAUAGUGUCCCCCCUCCCCUUGUCCCAUAGUGUGCCCCUCUCUCCUUGUCCCAUAGUGUGCCCCCCUCUCCUUGUCCCAUAGUGUCCCAUAAUUACUUACCUGUAUUGUAGCGUGGGCCGGCUUCACAGCGCGCACCGCGGUACAGGAACUUCAAUUUCAGGUACCGGAACCUGAAAUUGAAGUUCCUGUACCGCGGAGCGCGCUGUGCUGCCGGCCCACGCUACAAUACAGGUAAGUAAAGCUUCACAUUUGCGCCAUAAGACGCACAGAUAUUUCCCCUCACUUUUGAGGGGGAAAAAAGUGCGUCUUAUGGAGCGAAAAAUACGGUACAUUGUAGCAUUGCAGAAAAUAAUGGUGUAAGAAAAAAAAUAAUAAUAACAUACAAUUGCACUUGGACAGGGACAUCCUGUAGAAGUCUGGGUCCUGUGAAUGACAGAGAGAUAUAUUACCUAAAUAUAUUUAUGGGCAGCAUAUUAAAAGUGCUGUCAUGCAGUUUGUAGUAUUUAGCUGCUGCAGGUAGGAAAGAAAUGUAUUAUUUAAAGAUAAAUCCUGUAGCAUAUGGAUGCUACAAAUUUGCAAUGUGCUACCCAGUAUGUGUCUAGGAGAACGUGGUGGAUCUGACACCCCUUCUCUGCCUACAGGUAAACUAGGCCCUGGGACCCAUGAAUAAACUAAUGAGAACUUAUCUAGCAUACACACAGUAUAAUCUCCUCCCUAUUCUUGGCAGGAGCGUUGCUAGGGUCAAAAGAACCCAGGACUUGAGUCCAAAAAUAUUUUGGUGAUUCUUCCUAAAGCUGUGCCUACUCCCCAAAUCGCAAACUUCCACUCCCUAAUUCCACCACUGGACAUGCCUCUUGGCACACAUUCACAGUUACUUAGAGAAACACACAGAUACACAAAAGCACACUGACACAAAUGGGUGGGCAGACAUACACAGAUGUGCCUGAGCACACACAGACACUGACACAAAUAAACAGACACACAGGCACAAACAGUAACUGAUAGGUACAAACAAAAGCACAGGCAUACAUAGGAGUAGACAGACACAGAUAGGUGCACACAAAUAAAAACACACAGACCCACAUAGACAUAAUGAAAAAGAUUGCUCUGUUCUUUAGAGGUUGAUUGAAGAAAAGGCAGUCAACCAGUUAUUGUUUAAGCAGGGCUGGCGACCAGUAUUAAUUUUGGUGGCAAAAUUAAAUUUUAGUCAUAGUCUUUUGACUAAAAAUACAUUUUUGUUUUAGUCGUAUUUUAGUCAUUUGAUUUGUUUUAGUUAUUGUUGACUAAAUCCAGGAUACCUAUACCUAUCAUGCUACACCGCAUGGAUCUGACCACUUCUAUAGUUAUCAGCUGGGGAGAGGACUUCUUUUUUUGCUAUUUUGGUUGUCCUUGUUGUAGAGAGGUGUACGAAAAGUAUGCAGGCUUCAUAUGUUGCACUGUAAAAAAAAAUCAAUGAAGAACUACCAUGUAGUAUGCAGAUUUUACAUGCUACAGGAGGGGGGAUGUCAAUCAAUCAAGGUGCCGAAUAUUGUCUACACCUGCUCUAUGAAAUUCCAUGUGUGUCUCUAGCACUGCACUGAUCCCAGCCGACUCCUAUACUCACUGAAGAGAUUGAAAAUGGUCAAGUAGAGACAAAAAGAUCCAGGGCUAUAAAGGACAAGCACCCCCUAUCAAUGCUCCUGUAUAUUGGCAUGCAAGAAUAGUGGCCCUGGUCCCACAAACCAGUAUCGUAAGACAAAUACACAAAGAAGAAGAUACACUGCAGUAGGUAAUGAAGACACUCCAAUUUUAUUGAUAUGCUAUACAAGCAAGUCACAUUUUAGUCCAAUUGAUUUAAGCCUUCAAUACAUAUCAUACAUAACACACAAUGUCAAAAUAUAUUACAUACACAGUGCAAUAAGAGAAUACAGCACAUAUGCAGUUUGGAAAUGCUUUAACAUAUAAAGUGCAAAUCAUCAAUAAAUCAAUACAUAUUGUAUAAACAUAUUCUAAUGGUGAUAUUCUAUGAUUCUUUAUCAGAUUUACCAUUAUGGAAAAAAAAAUUGUACUGUCUAAAUUAUACUCGCAAAAUUUUCUUUUAAAGGGAUAGUACCAAAAAAACUAUUCUUAAAAGGAUUUUGCCAUCCAGUGAUUAAUACUUAGUAGUGUGAGACCUCCUGAUCGUUGUGUACAAAACAGUAUAAAAGACAAAUAUAGCAUAAUACUGUAUAAAACCACAAUUGAUCAAUAGUAGACGUAAUGGGUCACUCACACUUUCCAGAGCCUUGGGAAGCAGGCUCUGGCUAUAUCAGCAAUUGAAUAAUAUAGCUUAUUAAGGCUAUUACCACGACUUCUCAAUAUACUUCUUCCCAAGUAGGUAUGAAUUAGAAGAUAUGCAAUGAGGUAAAGAUAAAGACAUUUUACUUCAAAUUAUAACAAAUAUAUAAAACAACAGCUACAAAGGCUGUGAAUAAACAAAGCAAACAGUCCAAUAACACUAACGCAUUUCAACCUUUCGUUCUUUUUCAAAGUGUAUGGUGAUCUUCUCCUAGUGCUGGCUUUUAAUCCGUGCUUCCGGGAAAUUAAUUUUUGCACCCUCCAGAGCUCAGUGGUCACUUCCGCAUUAUUACGUCAUUAUGGCUUGCGCUGUGAUGAUCACGGAUGUAGUAAUGUCAAAGCAUCACAGCGUCCUGGCAUACUACGUGAUGAUGAUAUCGUCUGUUACCACGUUCCAGGAUGCAGAAAUGCAUUCAAUGCAUAUUGAUUCAAGUUCUUUAUCGUCUUAUUUAUAUCUCUGAUGAACUUCCAUUGCAUGGACUAAUUACGCCCGAUACUAUAAUGCCGUCUUAUGGACUCCCUGCAUUUCUGCGUCCUGGAACGUGGUAACUUACAAUAUCGUCAUCAUGUAGUACACCUAGAUGCUGUGACGCUUUGACAUUACUAUGUUCACGAUCGUUACAGCGCAAUCUGUAAUGACGUAAUAAUGCGGAAUUGACCACUGAAAAUGAAUUCCCGGAAGCACGGAUUAAAAGCCAGCACUAAGUGAAGAUCACCAUACACUUUUAAAAAGGCCGAAAGGUUGAAACUUUGGACUGUUUACUUUGUUUAUUCACAGCCUUUGUAGCUGUUGUUUUAUAUAUUUGUUUUAAUUUGAAGUAAAACUUCUUUAUCUUUACCUCAUUAGAUAUCUUCUAAUUCAUACCUACUUCAGAAGAAGUAUAUUGAGGAGUCGUGGUGAUAGCCUGAAUAAGCUAUAUUAUUCAAUUGCUGAUAUAGCCAGAGCCUGCUUCCUAAGGCCCUGGAAAGUGUGAGUGACCCAUUACCUCUACUAUUGAUUAAUUGUGGUUUUAUACAGUAUUAUGCUAUAUUUGUCUUUUAUACCUUUUUUUACAGAAUGAUCAGGAGGUCUCACACUACUAAAUAUUAAUCAUUGUGUUUUGCACCCCCCUAACUUUGUUUGUUUUUAUCUAUUUUUGUGGUGUCUUUUGAGUGAUUUUUAGACACUGGAGGGUAGUUGCUAUUUUAUUUGUUACUUAGUGCCAAUCCACCUGUAUUUUAUCCAGUUCUUGGGUCAAAUAUUUAUUUUUUUAUACCUAAGACAUUGGUGUCUUAUUAAAAAAAUCCCAAAAUUUUAACAUGCUUAGUUGCUCAGCUCCAGCAGCAACUACAACAAUUGUUUAAGGGAAGUUAAAACUGCAGAUAUAAUCAUAAACACAAAAUAAACAUAUGAUUGGUUCUUACCACAUAAAUAGAUAUUUUUUUUUAGCUUAAAACUGGGGGGAAUGCUGCCCUACCUUUUCCUAUGGACCAACCUCCACUCAGUGCAACACACUACCCGGCUGAUGAUGCCCUAGUACAUAGUAAACAUACAAUGCAAUCUGAGAUUUAACAGUGGUGGCAAAUCAAUCAGCCUACUGGCCUAUACCUAUACUGUAACACUGUCAUGUGAGACACACCACAUCAUGAUCACAAUACAGUUGUGCUCAAAUGUUUGCCUACCCUGUCAGAACUUGGGAAAUUUUGGCAUUGAUUUAAAAAAUAUGACUGAUCAUGCAAAAAAAGUUAUUAAAACAUAGUGAUCAUAUGUAUCACAUAGUUGUUUGGCUUCUUUUUAAAUCACAAUGAUAACAGAGAUCUCCCAAAUAGCCCUGAUCAAAAGUUUACAUGCCCUUGACUGUUUGGCUUUGUUACAGACACACAAGGUGACACACAGGUUAAAUGGCAAUUAGAGGUUAAUUUCCCACACCUGUGGCUUUUUAAAUUGCAAUUGUCUGUGUAUAAAUAGUCAAUGGGUUUGUUAGUUCUCAAAUAGAUGCAUUGAGCAGGCUAGAUACUGAGCCAUGAGGAGCAGAAAAAAAGUCAAAAGACCUGCAUAACAAGAUAUUGGAAUUUUAUAAAGAUGGAAAGGGAUAUAAAAAGAUAUCCAAAGCCUUUAAAAUGCAAGUCAGUACUGUCCAAUCACUUAUUAGUAAGUGGAAAAUUUGUGGAUCUCUUGAUACCAAGCCAAGGUGUAACGGCUACCCGGGUAGAAGGAGGGUAUCUGCCGUUGGAGACGUCCUUUUUCCCUGUAAGCUGCUGUGGAGAAGUAAGCUGGUAUAAUCCUAUCCACGAUAUAUCAGAGUAAGAGUCAGGUUCAGCUGUAACAGGAGCAGGAUAAUAUUCCCAAAUAAUCCCCUUCCAAGAACGAGACAAGGCUACGUUUUGAAGGGUCAAGAAGAUCUGAGGACUGGAACACCCAGCCUCCUUUUAUUGGGAUCAGGUACACACAGGAUACUCCCAGGGGGAGGAUAAAAACACCCAAUCAUAUACCUGGUAACACCCCCACGUCUCCUCCCCUCAGAUAACAUAUAACAUAAUUAAAACGUACAACAUUUUACCCCAGUUCUGGAUGUUCCCCAAAAACAGGGGGUACAGCUUUAAAUCCGGGGUCGCUUGAUAGCUCUCAUUCAGGGGACCAACAUGUCCAAAAAUCAGCCCAUUCGGAUGAAUAGUUCGGGAGAUACAGAGUUCCAAAGUUUUGACCGACCGCACAGACCAACUAGCCGAAAAUAGUUCCAUGAGUUUUGGCCUUGCGGUCGGUCUCCGUUCGCCUGGUAAAAAGGUCUGAAAUUCUUGCCAUCCAUUCGAAUCUCGGGGUUCGCCGCAAUCCCCAUAGAUGAUUGAACAUAACUACCGAACGUCCGGUGAUUCGGUAGUUUCCGUGCGAACUUCUGGAAGUAUGGAGGACUCAGCGGUGUUCGCCUGUUUGCGUAUCCGAUUUUAGUUCCACGCGUCGACAGGCAAACACCGCUGUUCGCACGUAAGAUGGCCGCGGCCACGUGUAAAGUCCCGAAAUGGCGGCCACCUAUACUUUACACAGGGAAUUCAUGCGAAUCCAUUCGAAUGGUUGAAAUGCACUAAAUGUGACGAAUUCCUGCUGAUUUUGGUUAGUUCACUGGCCCAGGCAUACAGCAUAGUUCUGUUACACUGCUCCCCUUUUGUGGAACACUCCGGCAGACCCGGAUUGACCUUUUUCGGGUCAACUUGGGGCUGUCCGGUCUGCCUCUAAGGUAAAAGUUCUGUUUGCCUGGACAGUCCGUCUGCAUUCCCAUUGAACCGGCCUGGGCGAUACUGGAUGGAGAAAUUAUACGGUUGUAGGGCUAGGCUCCACCUCAGUAGUCGUCCAUUGUCCCCAGCCACUCGGUUCAGCCAUACUAGAGGGUUAUGGUCUGUGAUCAGGGUAAAUUCCUGACCAUAAAGGUAGGGGGUGAGCUUCUUUAGGGCCCAGACCAGGGCUAGACAUUCCUUUUCCACUGCCGCAUAACUCACUUCCCUGGGCAAUAGCUUUCUACUCAGGUAUGCGACAGGGUGUUCUCCCCCAUCUUCUCCGACCUGGCUUAGCACUGCCCCCAGUCCGUACAUGGACGCAUCUGUGUGGACGACAAAUCUUUUAUUAGGGACGGGGGCAGACAAAACAGGUGCGUUGAUCAGAGCUUGUUUCAGGGUUCGGAAUGCUGCUUCACAGGCGGGAGACCACAGGACUACCCUAGGUAAAUUUUUCUUCGUUAAAUCGGUCAGAGGUUUGGCGAUGGCGCUGUAGUCAGGGACAAAUUUUCUGUAGUACCCUGCCGUUCCCAAGAAGGCUAAUACCUGGGUCUUAGUGUGAGGGGUGGGCCAAUUCGCUACGGCCUCUACCUUGGCGGGUUCUGGUCGUUGUUUCCCACACCCCACUCUGUGUCCCAAGUACUGAACUUCAGCCAUACCAAAGUUACAUUUUUCUGGUUUCAGGGUUAGGCCGGCGGCCCUAAUCUGAUCCAGCACAGCCUCUACGUGUCGUAGGUGUUCUUCCCAUGUCUCACUAUAGAUCGCAAUGUCAUCCAGGUACGCGCAAGCGAAUUCCUGGAAGCCAUCAAGGAGGCGGUCCACUAAGCGCUGAAAGGUAGCUGGGGCAUUUUUCAUCCCGAAAGGCAUGACCUUGAACUGGUACAAGCCAAACGGGGUGACAAACGCCGACUUAGGGAUAGCGUCCUUGGCCAGGGGGAUCUGCCAGUACCCUUUGCACAAAUCGAUGGUGGUCAGAUAGCGUCCCCUAGCAAUACGAUCUAAUAGUUCGUCUACUCGGGGCAUGGGGUAUGCGUCUGUCACAGUUCUGUCGUUAAGGCGUCGGUAGUCGACACAAAAUCGGGUCGUUCCGUCCUUUUUGGGGACUAGGACGACUGGGGAUGCCCAGGGGCUGUCGGAGGGUUCUAUAACUCCUAGCUUUAACAUUUCCUGAAUCUCCUUUCUCAUCUCCUCUUUCACGGCUUCGGGAAUUCUAUAGGGAGUCUGUCGGAGAGGGUUUUGUCCUGGGGUCUCUACGUAAUGUGUCGCUAAGGGUGUGUAACCGGGUUCCUGGGAAAACGUCAAUCUUUUUGCAGCUAGCAUCUGCUGGAGUUGCUCUCUUUCGGUGGGCGUUAGUCGCUCCCCUAGCUGUACAGUGUUCAGCAAGGUUUUAGACUCGGGGUUAGCUAGUAGAUCCGGGAUGGGGAGACUGUCCGGGUCCUCAGUGGCCGGGAUACAUAUGGCUGCUAUGUCUUCGGGCCUUUCCUGGUACUCUUUCAGUAAGUUUAUAUGGAAGGACUUCUGUAUCCUCUCGUCCUUGCUACUGGCAAUUACAUAGGUGGUGUCACAGAUCUGUGCGACCACCUUGUAAGGGCCUUGCCAGGAGGUUUGUAAUUUGUUCCCUUUAACGGGUCUAAGUACUAGGACUUUCUGUCCCACCUGGAAGGUUCUCAAUCUCGCGCCCCGAUCGUACCAAUGUUUCUGUCGGCCUUGGGCCGCCUGGAGAUGCUCUCGGGCCAUCCUGGCUAGGUGCCCCAUGCGGUCCCGCAUCUCCAGUACAUAUGGUACGAUGGGGACCCCCUCAUGUUCUGUCUCUCCCUCCCAGUGCUCUCGGAUCAGGUCGAGGGGGCCUCGUACCCGCCGUCCGUAGAGCAAUUCGAAUGGGGAGAACCCUGUGGAUUCUUGCGGCACCUCUCGAUAUGCAAACAAGAGGUGUGGCAAGAAUCGCUCCCAGUCCCUGUAUUCCGCUGUAAAGGUACGCAGUAGUUGCUUUAGGGUACCAUUAAAGCGUUCACAGAGACCGUUAGUUUGAGGGUGGUACGGGGAACUAAGGAGGGAUUGGACACCGCAGGCCUUCCAUAACUGCUGAGUUAGGUCUGCGGUGAACUGGGUCCCUCGAUCCGACAGGAUUUCCCGGGGAAAUCCUACUCUGGUGAAGAUCCCAACUAGAGCACUGGCGACAGUGUCAGCUUGGAUAUUCGUCAGAGCGACGGCUUCUGGGUAGCGGGUAGCAUAGUCUACUACAGUAAGAAUAUAUUUCUUACCAGAGGGACUGGGGUUAGGUAGGGGUCCCACUAGGUCGACUGCCACCCUGCUAAAUGGUUCCUCGAUCACUGGCAUGGGUAACAGUCGGGCUUUGGGGUGAUCCCCUCUCUUUCCCACCCUCUGGCAUACAUCACAAGUGCUGCAGUAACGGCGCACAUCUUUCGAGAUCCCUGGCCAAAAGAAGGUCUGGGUGAUCCGGAAGGUUGUGCGGUUACCCCCUAGAUGCCCUGCCAACGGAAUGUCGUGGCCAAUUCGGAGAAGCUCCCACCGGUACUUUCUGGGUACCACUAAUUGGCGCUUCUGCGAGGGGGCACAGCCUCUCUUCCUGCCUUCGGUCAAUCUGUAUAGCCUGUCCCCCUCCCAUACAAAACGUUCUCGCUCGUCCCCCCUACUGUCAGCUAGUUCCCUGUACUUUUGGAGGGUGGGGUCCUGCCUAGUUUCCCUCCCAAAUUCUUCUGGGGUGUCCCAAGCUAUGGGUCUCUCUGUAAUGUUAGUGUGGGGUGUCUGCUUGUGGCUUACCUGGGUCUCCCGACCUGUUGUAGGAUCGUCCUCGAUACGGGUCUGUGAGCGGGUGGUCACGGGGCAAGCACCAGCAGUAGUGGGUAAAAAUGCUGAAGCUAGAGGGCCAAUAUCGUUGCCCAAUACGACCUCGGCGGGUAAAUUGUCCAUGAUGCCCACCGUGGUCUUUCCUGACCCGGCUCCCCAAUCUAAGUGUAUCCUGGCGGUGGGUAAGCGAAAAACAGCUCCCCCUGCGACACGAACAGCCACGGUACGAUUUGACACAUGUUCUGGUUUUACAAGGUGUUUCUGUAUUAGGGUAAUGGUAGCGCCAGUGUCUCUUAGGCCUUGUGCUAUCUGUCCGUUCACACGCACCUCCUGACGGUGAUGCUGACGAUUAUCUGGGGAAGCUGCUUGUAUGGGGUUGGCCUCAUAUAAUAUUCCCAGGCACUCUUCAGGGCUUCCUUCAAUUUCUAGGCAGUGAGCAGCCGCUGGACGUGGCGGUGUGCUCUCGGUGUUAGGUGGGCGCCUCCAGUUAUUAUUGGCUGAUCCCAACGGGCAAUACCGGGCAAUAUGUCCUGUGUUGCCGCAGCGAUGGCACGUUACUUUGUAAGAUUCCCGGGGAUGGUUGUUAUGCCCCUGGGGACGUGGAGGCCCUGGGGGUACUGGGGCCCGAAAUUCUGUGCGUGCAGGGUAGGUUGUAGUGCGGGCCUCUGCUCUAGGGGCUGGUCGUGUGUUACUUUGGCUCACCUUCCUUGUCUCUGCAUACUCAUCUGCUAGUCGCGCUGCCUCAGUUAAAUUGGCAGGGCGCCGAUCUCUGACCCAGUCCUGUAUAUCUGCAGCCAGAUCUUGAAAGAAGUGUUCCAUCAGGAACAACUGUAAUAUUUCUUCUCCGGUGUUAGCAUUGCACCCUCGCACCCAGUGUGUUGCCACCCGUUGUAUCUUGUUUGCCCAUUCCAUGUGGGAGUCCACUGCCUUCUUUUUGGACUCCCGGAAGCGACGGCGAUAUGCUUCUGGGGUGACCGCAUAUCGGGUGAGUAGUGCAGCUUUCACCCGUUGAUACUGCGUUAUAUCUUCCGUAGUAAGUGCCCGAAAAGCCUCAUUUGCUUUUCCUGAGAGCUUUCCAGCCAGAAUAGUAACCCAUUGGUCUGGUGGUACUUGGUGUAGCGAGCAUUGUCUCUCAAAGUCCGCUAAAUAUCCGUCAAUUUCUUCUUCAUUCUCUACAAACGCUUUAAAUGCAGUGAACGGUAUUUUCCUCCCUGUAGCAGCGGGUGGGGGGGUAGGAACUGCCUGUGUAAUGGGCUGUCUAGCUCUUACCAGUUCCGCUUCUUGUCCCCUCUUAGUUUGUAUCUCCUCCCUUGUUUCCCGGAGCAGCUGGUUUAUUAGCUCCGUGGAUCUUUCUGGAUACCAAGCUAAUCUCCGCUGUACAAUGGCAGAAAUUUCAUCGUCCUCGCUGACAGGUGCAAGAGGUUCUGUUACCUCCAUGGACCUAUCCAUUUCGUCCAGUUCUAGUAGGUCAGCUAUCAGCUCCCUCCGUGGUCUGUUGCUGGCACUCCUACCACGACUCUCCAAUAAAUCCUUUAAUGUGGGUCUUUUCAGCUUGGCGUACUGAGCCUCCAUUCAGCACUUGUUCUCUGGAUAAAAGGACCAUCCCACCGCUGCCACCAAUGUAACGGCUACCCGGGUAGAAGGAGGGUAUCUGCCGUUGGAGACGUCCUUUUUCCCUGUAAGCUGCUGUGGAGAAGUAAGCUGGUAUAAUCCUAUCCACGAUAUAUCAGAGUAAGAGUCAGGUUCAGCUGUAACAGGAGCAGGAUAAUAUUCCCAAAUAAUCCCCUUCCAAGAACGAGACAAGGCUACGUUUUGAAGGGUCAAGAAGAUCUGAGGACUGGAACACCCAGCCUCCUUUUAUUGGGAUCAGGUACACACAGGAUACUCCCAGGGGGAGGAUAAAAACACCCAAUCAUAUACCUGGUAACACCCCCACGUCUCCUCCCCUCAGAUAACAUAUAACAUAAUUAAAACGUACAACAUUUUACCCCAGUUCUGGAUGUUCCCCAAAAACAGGGGGUACAGCUUUAAAUCCGGGGUCGCUUGAUAGCUCUCAUUCAGGGGACCAACAUGUCCAAAAAUCAGCCCAUUCGGAUGAAUAGUUCGGGAGAUACAGAGUUCCAAAGUUUUGACCGACCGCACAGACCAACUAGCCGAAAAUAGUUCCAUGAGUUUUGGCCUUGCGGUCGGUCUCCGUUCGCCUGGUAAAAAGGUCUGAAAUUCUUGCCAUCCAUUCGAAUCUCGGGGUUCGCCGCAAUCCCCAUAGAUGAUUGAACAUAACUACCGAACGUCCGGUGAUUCGGUAGUUUCCGUGCGAACUUCUGGAAGUAUGGAGGACUCAGCGGUGUUCGCCUGUUUGCGUAUCCGAUUUUAGUUCCACGCGUCGACAGGCAAACACCGCUGUUCGCACGUAAGAUGGCCGCGGCCACGUGUAAAGUCCCGAAAUGGCGGCCACCUAUACUUUACACAGGGAAUUCAUGCGAAUCCAUUCGAAUGGUUGAAAUGCACUAAAUGUGACGAAUUCCUGCUGAUUUUGGUUAGUUCACUGGCCCAGGCAUACAGCAUAGUUCUGUUACACAAGGUAAGGUAGACCAAGAAAGAUUUCAGCCACAGCCAUGGUUAUGUCAGGAUUACAAGUUGAUCCAGCACACAGUACUGUGUCACACCUAGGACUAAGGAUAACGUAUAACCAGACCUUAGAAUUGCCGGACUUAAAGUCUCCAAGAAUAGUCAAAAUACUUGCCGAGGUCAAGGACACAGAAUCAGACACAAAGAUGAGGGAAAGCCAAACGUCAAGGAUGCCAGAUAUCAGGGAAGUCAAAACAAAGCCAAAGUCAAAUACGAGAAAAUCAAGAUCAGGAACGCAUUCUCUGAUAACCAUAGUAAUGAAACAACGACAGGGCACUGUCCUAUGGAUCCGAUUGGCUGUAACCGGCCUUUGACCUCAAAGGCAAUUACCAGGUUUCCAUUUGCAUGAUUGCUGCUCAGCACAAACCCUCCUGUGGAUUUGAUUGCUGCUCGGCACAACUUUUCCUGUCAGGACAGUAAUGUUGCUCGGCACAACUUUUCCUGCCAGGACAGUAAUGUUGCUUGGUACAAUUUUUCCUGUCAGGACAGUAAAUGCCAUUAACCACAUUUUUAUGUGUGGAUGAAUACGUGACAGGUUGUCCACAGAAAUCUUUCGGGGGGGUGCAUAUAAUUGUAAUGACUACCAUGCCCCUUUUUGUAGAGCCGGACUGGGGCUACAAAUCAGCCCUGGAUAAAAUGUAUGCCAGCCUCAUAAGUUAUUGUGCCAUGUAGCAUGUGUGUGUGUGUGUGUGUAUAAAUAUAUAAACUAUUGGUUCUGUCAGUGUAAAAAAUGUAAUUAUACAGUUAGCAUACUCACAUGCAGAUAGACAAUCUCACUGACACAAGCAGACAAGAUCUUUAAUACACAGGUUCACAGACAGACAAUCUUAUUGAUACAUAUAAGCUCAUUGACAUAAAAACAAAAGCUCACUGAUACACACUAAUAGGCUCACUGACAGACAUUUUCACUGACACACACAGACAAGCUUGCUAGUACACACAGAGAAACCUAAUACAAACUCUGACAAUCACACAAGAUUACUACAGACAAACUCAACGGUAUGCAAACACAAACUUAUUACAGAUAAGCUUACUGUCACAAACACACAUAUGCUUACUACAGACAAGCUCACUGACACACACAUGGUCACUACAAACUCACUGACACUCACACAUGCUAACUACAGAAACACUCACUGACAUACAUGCUCUACUGCACACCUUGGAAAUGCACAGAAUUGGCAGUAGGUAGCCCAAAAAAAGAGUUGUUUGAAUGUUUGAAGCAGAAACACUGCGCAUACUCCCUCCCCCACCAUGACCACUUCAAAUCACUGAAGUGGUCAUGAUGGUUGGAGUAACCCUUUAAGCUAAUUAUCGGACAAAAUCAAUGUGUACUCAAGUAAAUCUGUUACUUACCAGUUACAGCUUGUUUUCUCUGAUCUGCUUGCCUAUGUGCAAUCAAGUAAAUCUGUAAAAGCAAUGUGUAAUCAAGUAAAUCUAUUACUUACCAGUCACAACUUGUUUACCCUGCUCUUCUGAUCCAACGUUCACUGACAUACAAUUGUACUUUGCUUAAUGGCUUUUUCCUGUGGACCCAUAUUACUUCUGUUAUAUACAUGUGACAAGCAGCCAGAAUAACCUAUCUUACAGGAACACUACAGCGUUAGGAAUGCAAAAUUGAUUUACUUACCUUUUCUCCCUUGCCAUGGUGCUUUCUCCAGCCAUCCCUGCCUUUUACGCUGAGAUCAUCAAUCGCGCAAGAACCCCUGUGACAUCAAGACAGCUUCCCCGGCUCUAGGUGUCCAGUAAGUAAAAAUAUUUUUACAGGUUUUAUGCAGUGGGGAAGACCGAAGAGUAAUGCCCUCAAUGAAAAAAAUCUUUUAGGUUACAUAAGGGUUUGGAGUAAUCUUUUAACUUUAGGCGAUCAUGUCACUCACUUUACAUUCGAUUGUACAUCCAGUAGGCAAUUGCUGUUUUCAAAUCUUUUUCAUGCUGCAUAGAGUUGAGCGGACACCUGGAUGUUCAGGUCGAAUUUUUGAAAAAAGUCCGGGUUUGGGAUCGAACUUGACCCUGAACCCGAACUCCAUUCAAGUCAAUGGGGGCCCGAACUUUUGGGCACAAAAAUGCCUCUAAAAAAGUCCUGGAAAGGGCUAGAGGGCUGCAAAAGGAAGUAAAAUGGGGGUAAGAGUAGGACAAGUGCCCUGCAAACAAAUGUGGAUAGGGAAAUCACUUAAAAAACAUAAAAUACAUAAAAAUACAGCUGAGCCAUAAAAUAGCACUAGAUGGAAUAUUUGAUUUUAGCUUUGGAAGAACAUAAAUCAAAAUCUAAGCCAUGGCUGUCAGGAACCAGAAUUAUCCAUUUGAGAGAAGGCUGGAGUACAGGGUAUUCUCUUUCAUUGUUCAAACUGAGCUCAACUGCUGAUGCAUGGAGAAAAGCCCUUCACAAGCCUCUGCUAUUGUGUACAUAGUUUAUACUAAGUGACCCAUAGGUUGAGGAGGCAUUGACCGUGGCGUUGUAGGUGGAAGUGGGGGUGGAGGAGGUAGCCAACACUGUUUUUUAUUUGUUUGGGGUUUUUUUGGGGGGGGGGUUAAUUGGGGUAGCCCCCAAAAUAUUGGGACAUAUAAAAAAAAAGAAACAUUUGCGGCCUGCGGUGCAUUUCCUGCAGUCCAAUAACGCCAUCAGGUUUCUAAAACUGUCCGUCUCCACCAGACGAAAUGACAGUAUUUCAAAGGCCACAAAUUUUGAAAUGCUGGCAUUCAGAGGCAGGGAUCACAGGUUGCUAGGGGGACACUUCCUCUUUCUUUCCAGUGUUUGGGAGAUGGACAGCUGAACGCUUCCAUGGGACAGUGUGGAGGUGCUGGACAAUUGUGUACCUGGCCUAUACUGAUAACCGUGGAAAUGACCCCCUCUUCCUCCUCCUCUUCCUCCUGUGCCACAUCCUCUUCCAUCAUCGCCCAAAGCGUUUUUUCAAGGAGAUAUAGAAGCGGGAUAGUAAGGCUGAGAAUGGCGUCAUCGGCACUGGCCAUGUUGGUGGAGUACUCAAAACAGCGCAACAUGGCACACAGGUCUCACAUGGAGGCCCACUUAUUGGUGGUGAAGUGGUUCUGUUCCGCAGAGCGAAUGACCCAUGCAUGCUGCAGCUGAAACUCCACUAUCGCCUGCUGCUGCUCGCACAGUCUCUCCAGCAUGUGCACAGUGGAGUUCCACCUUGUGGGCACGUCGCAUAUGAGGCGGUGAACGGGAAGGCCAAAAUUAUGCUGCAGCGCAGACAGACGAGCAGCAGCAGGGUGAGAACGCCAAAAGCGCACACAGCCGCUAAAGUGAAUGUCACAUCCUGUUCCAAGUUGCGGAUCAGUCUGGUGAUGGCUUCUGGUAUCCAGUACUCUUUUUACUGAAGCUGCAUCAGGGUCCUGGUAUGUGGCUGCACAAACGCUGGUGCUCAACACCAGUUACCCUGCACCAGACCCACCAGACCCUGCUAAUCCAUUCCACACUGUGACUCCUAACUUCAACAUCAGGCAUACUAGGUCCAGGUUGUCCAACUGCCUCCCAGACAGUGUCUGGGUCCCGGUCACCGGACUGCGAAACUGCGAAUGGCUCAUUAAAUCUGUUAUGCUUCCUUUUAUCACUCAAUCUGUUACUUGGAUAACUGUGGGAAUUCUAAAGAUAAUACACGCCAACGAGCGCUAGGGGACGGACGCUCCGCUUUUGCACCCUGCUCCCUCUUAUUCUGUACUGGUGCCUCUGUGCGACCAGCGCCUCUUCCUCCAAACUGCACACUUCACUCGCAUGACCUUGAUUCCAUGUGGGGUCUAGGACCUCAUCAUCCUCCACAUCAUCUUCCACCCCCUCUCUGCACAGAUAUGAAGUGCAGGCAACAAAUUUACUUUUUAGCACCUAAAGAAUUUGAAUUUUUACAACUGCAAUGUAAGCACAAUAUUUGACGGUUCUAUUUGACUCUCAGAUAUGAAGUGCACCGCAGGCCGCAUUUACUAUUUAGCAGCCAAAAAAUUUGAAUGUUUAAAACUGCUAUGUCACAGCAAUAUUUGACAGUUCUAUUUGACUCUCAGAUAUGAAGUGCAGGGCCCAAAUUUACUAUUUAGCAGUUUAGCACCAAAACAAUUAGAAUUUUUACAACUGCGCUGUAACCGCAGUAUUUGACGCUUCUAUUUGUGUCUCAGAUAUGAAGAGCACGCCCCAAAUGUACUUCUUAGGAGCAAAAAAAUGGGAAUUUGUCAAAGUGCGCUGUAAACACAGUAUUUGACGCUUCUAUUUGACUCUCAGAUAUGAAGUGCAGGGCACAAAUUUACUAUAUAGCAGAUUAGCACCCAGAAAAUAAGAAUGUUUACUAUUGUGCUGUAACCACAGUAUUUGACGCUUCUAUUUGACUCUCAGAUAUGAAGAGCACGCCCCAAAUUUACUAUUUAGCAGUUUAGCACCAAAACAAUUCGAAUUUUUACAAUUGCGCUGUAACCGCAGUAUUUGACGCUUCUAUUUGACUCUCAGAUAUGAAGAGCACGCCCCAAAUUUACUAUUUAGCAGUUUAGCACCAAAACAAUUAGAAUUUUUACAACUGCGCUGUAACUGCAGUAUUUGACGCUUCUAUUUGACUCUCAGAUAUGAAGAGUACGCCCCAAAUUUACUAUUUAGCAGAUUAGCACCAAAACAAUUAGAAUUUUUACAACUGCACUGUAACCGCAGUAUUUGACGCUUCUAUUUGACUCUCAGAUAGGAAGUGCAGGCCCCAAAUUUACUAUUUAGCAGUAGUGAUGUCCCGAACGGUUCGCUGAACGGUUCGCCGAAUGGUUUGCGAACGGUUCGCCACGAACGGUUCGCCACGGACUCAUCAUUGGGUAAACUUUGACCUUGUACCUCACAGUCAGCAGACACAUUCCAGCCAAUCAGCAGCAGACCCUCCUUCCCAGACCCUCCCACCUCCUGGACAGCUCACUAAGAAUGCAGCUUCAAAAUGGAUGCUGUCCAGGAGGUGGGAGGGUCUGAGAGGGUCUGCUGCUGAUUGGCUGGAAUGUGUCUGCUGACUGUGAGGUACAGGGUCAAAGUUUACUCAAUGAUGAGUCCGUGGCGAACCAUUCAUGGCGAGCCGUUCAGGACAUCACUAUUUAGCAGAUUAGCACCCAGAAAAUAAGAAUGUUUACAAUUGCGCUGUGACCGCAGUAUUUGACGCUUCUGUUUGACUCUUCGAUAUGAAGAGCACACCCCAAAUUUACUAUUUAGCAGUUUAGCACCAAAACAAUUAGAAGUUUUUAUAACUGCGCUGUAACCACAGUAUUUGACGUUUCUAUUUGACUCUCAGAUAUGAAGAGCACGCCCCAAAUUUACUAUUUAGCAGUUUACCACCAAAGCAAUUCAAAUUUUUACAACUGCGCUGUAACCGCAGUAUUUGACGCUUCUAUUUUUCUCUCAGAUAUGAAGAGCACGUCCCAAAUGUACUUCUUAGGAGCAAAAAAAUGGGAAUUUUUCAAAGUGCGCUGUAAACACAGUAUUUGACGCUUCUAUUUGAUUCUCAGAUAUGAAGAGCACGCCCCAAAUUUACUAUUUAGCAGUUUAGCACCAAAACAAUUAGAAUUUUUACAACUGCGCUGUAACCGCAGUAUUUGACACUUCUAUUUGACUUUCAGAUAUGAAGAGCACACCCCAAAUUUACUAUUUAGAAGAUUAGCACCCAGAAAAUAAGAAUGUUUACAAUUGCGCUGGAACCACACUAUUUGACGCUUCUAUUUGACUCUCAGAUAUGAAGUGUAGGGCCCAAAUUCACUAUUUAGCAGAUUAGCACCCAGAAAAUAAGAAUGUUUACAACUGUGCUGUAAUUGCAGUAUUUGACGCUUCUAUUUGACUCUCAGAUAUGAAGAGUACGCCCCAAAUUUACUAUUUAGCAGUUUAGCACCAAAACAAUUAGAAUUUUUACAAUUGCGCUGUAACCGCAGUAUUUGACGCUUCUAUUUAACUCUCAGAUAUGAAGUGCAUCCCACUAAUGUACUUUUUAGCACCCAAAAAAUUUUAAGUUUUAAAACUGCAAUGUGACAGCAGUAUUUGACGGUUCUAUUUGACUCUCAGAUAUGAAGUGCACCCCACUAAUGUACUAGUUUGCAGAAUUCUUUCCUAAUCUGAAAGCGGUAGCAUCCUCUCCCUACACUAAUAAAAGCUCAUGUGAGGUGCGGUGCUACGUGACUCCAGCUUAUAUAUAGAGGCUGGGUCACAUGCUGCACUGGCCAAUCACAGCCAUGCCAUUAGUAGGCAUGGCUGUGAUGGCUUCUAAGCUGUGAUACGCUUGUAUAUUGACUGCCCUGCAGCCUUUCAAAACACGCCAUUAAAUCGCCGAACACCGAACUCCAACCCGAACAUACAGUGAUAUGUCCGUGUUCUGGUCCAGAGUCCAAAAAACGUUAGGGACACAGAAAGAGACACAACGAUAAGGAAAAGCCAGGAAUCAGGGAUGCCAGAAAACAGGGAAGUCAAAAUCAAAGCCAAAAUAACAGAAUAACCAGAAUCAAUAAUGCGCUCUCGGACAACCACAAGGGAAACCACGACAGGUCACUGAGCAAGAGGAGAACUGGGCCUAAAUAUCAGACAUCAGAACUCUAAAGCCUGUGGAUCUGAUUGGUUGUAACCGGCCUUUGACCCCAAAGGCAGUUACCAGGUUCCUAUUUGCAUGAUUGCUGCUCAGCACAAACCCUCCUGUGGAUUGAUUGCUGCUCAGCACAACUUUUCCUGUCAGGACAGUAAAUGCCAUUAAUCACAUUUUUAUAUGCGGAUGAAUACGUGACACAAACACAGAGAAACUGAAUAACGUGUAGAGAAUGUAGGAUACAACAAACAAAUGUUAUGAUGAAACUAAUAUGAAGCAUUACCAUACAUAGUUUUUUUAUGAAGAUAUAUUUCCAUAAUGUCAGGGGUGUGAACGCCCCAUUUAAAAGGUAUUCUCUGAUGAAAGAACCUAAAUCAAUGCAUGUGCAUAUCAUUUGUUUACAGGAAACUCAUUUAAAGAAAAAUAAUGCUACUCCCUGAAUCCUUCAGCAUAGCAAUACCAAUUCAAUGCCACUGCCCCUAAAAGGAGUAAAGAAGUCUCUCAUCCUGUAAGUAAACACCUGGCCUUUGAGCCUAUCACUCAAAUACUGAAUCCAAUAUUUUGAUCUUCUCUUUUAAAAAAAUUAUUAAUGAACCAAACCUGAACACGCUUAUAAUAUAAAAUAAUGAGGAACAAAUACACAGAUGGAAUCAAAUGCUAUGAAUAUACCUGAAUGGGUUAGAGGGCUGUUUUGGGGAACCAUAAAUGGGGGGCUCAAGGUAAGUGUGCAUUUAAGGAUUUUUAUUUUUUUAAAGGACUGCAGAUGGGGAGAGUUAAAUGUGGCAUUGGACAACAUUGCAUAACGAAGGAGCAGUCCUAGAGAUGUCCUGUAAAUGUAUCAGUACAAGUAUGAGAAUGGGACAGUAACAGGUCAUUAUCGGAGAUGAGAAGCCGACUGGAACAUAUCUGCUAAUGAGCAAGAUAUAUCAAGAGCUAUGUAAGUAAGCAUGAGAACUUUGAAUCCCAAAUUAAACAGGAAGCCAGCUUAGAAAUUGACAGGGGGUGAGUACUGAAUGUUUUGGGUUGUUAGGUAGAUGGAUCAGGCAGAGAUGUUCCUUCAUGGCUGAAGAGGAGUAAUCUGAAUUUUUUGUAGGCUAAUAAGCAGAGGGUUACAGUAAUCAAGACAGGAGACAUUGAGAGCUCUUAAAAGGCUCUUCACUUAAGCAAAAAUAGCUGGGAAGUAAAACUGCUCUAUAAAGCUUUUUAAAUUCACUAUGAACUCUGCCUUCAACUUUAGUAAAUAACUCUGUAAAAAAAAAAAUAAGUAUUUCUAGAAAAGGAUAUUCCUAACUUGUCGCGGAUUGUUUUCAAAAGAAGUGUAGUGACACAACAGCUGGUCAUCUCUGAGGGAUCACCACCCUAAUCACCCUCAGACAGGUGCAAAAUAAAUAUUUAAAGUCUUUUUAAAGUUUCAUAUGGGCCUUUAAUACAGCCACCAGGAUAUGACCUGGUAACAUGUUGGUUCUUUGUCAAACCCAGUUACAACGUACUAUAUAUCCACAAAAUCGAGGGAAAUCAUACAUGUUACAGUUUUAUGACAUUGUUAAUGGGACACUGUAGGCACCCAGACCACUUUAGCUCAUUGAAGUGGUCUGGGUGCAAUGUCCCAUGUCCCUUAACGCUACAGUGGUAAUUAUUGCAGUUUCUUAGAAACUGCAGUAAUUACCUCUGAGGGUUAACUCCAUCUCUUAGAGGUACUUCCUGAAUUAAAACGGACCUGUGGUUAUCUGAUGUUGGGCGAUCUGUAUGAGGACUUCCUGUAGUCAGAUUUUUCCCCAUAGGAGAGCAUUUAAUAUUGCUUUCCUAUGGAGGAAAUCCUAAUGCGAACGCGGUUAUUGCCGUGCAUGUGCAUAAGGUCUUCCCCAUUGGCAGGGGAGGAGCAUGGGCGGAGCCUGACCCAGCACCAAAGGGCAUCGGCGCUGGAUUCAGGUAAUUGACUGAAGGGGUUUUCAGCACCGUGGGAGGGUGGGCGAAUAGGAAGGGAGCACUGUGGGAUUCUAUAGUGCCAGGAAAACAGCUUUGUUUUCCUGGCACCAUAGAAUUCCUUUAAGAUGUCUGGUGAGAAUCCUAGCUUAAGGAGUUAAACCAUUUAUGAAAAAUUCAGUUCUGAACAUAGCAGGUGUUCACUCUGCCCCUAGAUUUCAGGCGAUGGUUCACAGCUUCAAUGAGGAAGCUUAGACUGGGCACUGCUGGUGGAUUCAGCUGACUGAAAUUUUCCAAUAUGGCUAUUUUGUCAUUCACUUUGAAUUACUGCCAAUUUUCACUUUAGUAACCUAGUACCCUAAAAAUCUUUCAAAACCCUAGUACUGGUGGCAUGAUCACAAAAUAAACAAAUCUUUUGUUAGCAAUUGUUAUUCCGGCACUAUUGCUUCCCUUUGCCCACCCCCCUUCUGCCUACCCCUUUAAAUAAUGAUUACUCACCUUGUUUCUAGUGGCAGGACUCCUCCACCUAAGCUUCUUUCUCCUCAUCCAGAGAGUCAACAUCAAAGCUGACAUCACCCAUGAUCUCCUCGAAAGUAUUGCUUCUCAUAGAGAAGGACAUGAUGACCUACUCUACAGGACAUCAGAACUCUAAAGUUUUGGAGGGCUGCAGCCUACUACCUAACAUGACUGUACCUCCAGGUCCUACUGUGACAUAUGCCUACCCACAGUCACCCACCCUUGUGGACCCGCUUUUUCAGGCAUUCAACCAUCUAUGCGCACAAUUAUAGGUGAACCUCAACAAUCAGGGGCUUACCGCCAGGUUCGGUGCAAGGAUUUUUGCCGCCCUAGGCAAAAGAAAAAUGUGCUCCCCCAUCUGACAUCACAAUGCUCCACCCAUACGAUCUGCCAUAUGAACUAAAGCCAGUGCUGCACAUAGUGUGUGUUUACAUUAAAAAGCCUGCAGAGACAGGCUAUAGACACCAGCACCACUACAGUAAGCUGCAGUGGUUCUGGGGACUAUAAUGUCCCUUCAUUGUGAGGUAAAUUAGAGAUUAGUGCCACGAAUAAUAUACUAAAUUGCCUACUUACUACCAAAUGAGAAUGAUGAUGGGCUCUGGCUGCAGUCUGGCUCCAGUGGUCUGGUGUAGAACAGGCUCUCUGGCGGCUGUUUGUAACUGUGGUCACAAAAGUCAAUGUUCUGGGGGAACGUGACACAGCUCCAUUUUUUUGGACCCCUUGCACAGCUCAAGGUCUGGUCCCCCAGGGCCUGACGGUGAGUAUGUCCAUAAGGCCCACCAAUAAGUCCAACUACAUGUUCCAUCCAUGAGUUCGCUCAUAGGGAGUGGAGUGUGUAGUGAAUGUGUUAUGUGUUAGUGUAGAGAAUCUAAAGUGUGUGCUUAUGGAAUGUAGUGUAUAGGGAUACCAGUUUCUCUAGGUGAUGCAGUGUGUGUGGGUGUGUAGUGGAUGCAGUGUGUUUUUGUAUAAGGGAUAGGAAGUAGUGUGUGAUUGUGUGUAAGGGAUGUAUUGUGUGUUUGUGGUUGUGUUUAAGGGAUGCAUUGUGUGAAUCUGUGUUUGUAUGUGUAAGGGAUGCAAGGUGUGUUUCUGUGUAUGUAAGGGAUGCAGUUUAUGUGUCUGUAAGGGGUGCAUUGAGUGUGUGUGUAAGAGAUGCAUUGUGUUUCUGUGUGUGUGUAAGAGAAGCAGUGUGUGUUUGUGUGUGUGUGUGUGUGUGUGUGUGUGUGUAAGGGAUGCAUUGUGUGUUUCUGUGUAUGUGUGCAAGGGAUGCAUUGUCUGUGUGUAAUGGAUGCAUUGUAUGUUUCUUUGUGUGUAAGGGAACGAUUGUGUGUUUCUGUGUUUUUGUAGGGAUGCAUUGUGUGUUUCUGUGUAUGUAUAGAGAGGCAUUGUGUGUGUAGUGUGAAAGAGAGAGUUUGAGGGGUAGGAUAGGGGCUGAGUCCUACCAGCCACUUUGUGCUUCUCUUUCCCCCCUUCCUCAGCCUCUCUCCCCUCUUGUCCCUUACUGCUCUCCCCUCCCGUCCCUUAGAGAUCUCCAUAGAGUGCUCAGGCGGCUGCAGCAUGAGGGGCCGGCCCUGCUUACUGCUACUCUCGUCAACCAAGUUGUGGUAUCCCGGAUCCUUUAGACGCAGCAGAACCGGGUUUCUCUUGCGCAUCCCCCACGCGGCAUCACAGAGGAGGAGACGCAAGCAGCUGGCGCCCAGGCGCCAAUGAUAUGGCAUCUCAAUCCCUGCAGCGCCCCUAGAUAGGUAGUCACAGCAGCAAUAAGCGAUGACCUAAUCCUGGUGUCUUAUGGUGUCCCGUGGGAGCAGUAAUUCGUCACGGAGAGCCUUUGAGUCCUGGGAGGGACAAGGUCGGCCCUUGUGUAGGUCUGGAGCUGGAGAGAUGCACAACGGAGGAAUAAAUCUGCAGAGAUGCAUGGUGACUUUCUCAGCAACACCUCUCUCUUACCACUCAGAGGGAUUGGAUGAUCCUAGCUUCAGGACUAUCGCCUGCAAUAUGUAGUCACCUGCACCUUGUUUUUCUUUUCAUGUUUUGCAACCAGUUUUGUUAAUAGUAUUUUUGUUGAACAUAUUAGAUUUUCUUACUGUGAUGCAGCAACAUAAUGUCCAGUCUUAUUACCAGUGGUCUAUUCUUUUCAGUCAUUAUAUAGCAGGUUAUACAGUAAUACUACAUGUUUACUCUACAAUUAGCCUAUAACUUGCUUUCCAAAGUUUCAUGUUUAUCUUUACCCCACAUGUAUAGCUAGUCCUUUAAAUCUCAAAUUUCUGCCUAACAGUUAGACAUGUUUGACUAGCCUGAUACCUUUGUCUACAAUAACUUAAAAAUGUGCAAGUUGAUUAAAUACCAUGAUAAUAUGUUAUUGAAGUGCUUGCUACUGUUUGUGGCAUGUCGUGCUUGAAUGUAACCUCAUACGCAGC